CGACCCUCCUGCGCCGCGCGUCGCCGAAACGGGGGCUCAGGCGCCGACCGGCAGAGCUAGGAGGAGGUUCACCGCGACCCACCGUCGAUCAGACCUGUAAGUGUUCAACUUACGUACUUUGGCUAAUUUUUUUAUUUUUAUUUUUGCUGAAAAUGCUACUUUGUUCUUUAGCACAGCGUCGGAUGUCAACCCCGACCACGUCGCCGGCCAGGGGGUGGCCGAGCCCGCUUGUGCUGCUGAGGACGCGGCGCCUCCGACCGCGGAGCAGCCUGCGGCAGCAGCCGUGCCUGAGAGCGCCGAGG
rnacentral:lncRNA from 1 species